rnacentral:rRNA from 1 species
GUGGGGAAUAUUGGACAAUGGGGGGAACCCUGAUCCAGCCAUGUCGCGUGUGUGAAGAAGGCCUUUUGGUUGUAAAGCACUUUAAGCGAGGAGGAGGCUACCGAGAUUAAUACUCUUGGAUAGUGGACGUUACUCGCAGAAUAAGCACCGGCUAACUCUGUGCCAGCAGCCGCGGUAAUACAGAGGGUGCAAGCGUUAAUCGGAUUUACUGGGCGUAAAGCGCGCGUAGGUGGCCAAUUAAGUCAAAUGUGAAAUCCCCGAGCUUAACUUGGGAAUUGCAUUCGAUACUGGUUGGCUAGAGUAUGGGAGAGGAUGGUAGAAUUCCAGGUGUAGCGGUGAAAUGCGUAGAGAUCUGGAGGAAUACCGAUGGCGAAGGCAGCCAUCUGGCCUAAUACUGACACUGAGGUGCGAAAGCAUGGGGAGCAAACAGGAUUAGAUACCCUGGUAGUCC